rnacentral:rRNA from 1 species
GAUGAACGCUAGCGACAGGCCUAACACAUGCAAGUCGAGGGGCAGCAUAAAGGUAGCAAUACUUUGGUGGCGACCGGCGCACGGGUGAGUAACACGUAUGCAACCUACCUGUAAAGAGGGGGAAUAACCCCGGAGAAAUUCGGACUAAUACCGCAUAAUACCACGAAGCUGCAUGGCUUUGUGUUUAAACAUUUAUGGCUUACAGAUGGGCAUGCGUAUGAUUAGAUAGUUGGUAGGGUAACGGCCUACCAAGUCAACGAUCAUUAGGGGUUCUGAGAGGAAGGUCCCCCCACACUGGUACUGAGACACGGACCAGACUCCUACGGGAGGCAGCAGUGAGGAAUAUUGGUCAAUGGGCGAGAGCCUGAACCAGCCAAGUCGCGUGAAGGAAGAAGGUUCUAUGGAUUGUAAACUUCUUUUAUAUGGGAAUAAGUGAGGAACGUGUUCCUUUUGUAUGUACCAUAUGAAUAAGCAUCGGCUAACUCCGUG